UUUUCCUGAGCAGGAAAGAGACCAGGCAAAGUUGCAUAUAAUACCCCUCUUAUUCCCCUGCAGAUGUCUGAGGCUUCUUUUUCCUUUCGUCAAAUCUGAUUUGUAUUUCUUCUUGGUUAAUACCCCCAGAGUGCUCCAGGUUGCUGCCUGCCUG
rnacentral:lncRNA from 1 species